AGAAGUAACAUAUCCCAAACCCUUUCAAAGGUUCUGAAUAUGCUUAUGUGAUUCGCUUUGGCUUUUGAGCUUCUGACUGCUGCCCAAUGAAGAGCUUUCCUCAAAUAAUUCUCUACUGAAAAAGCACCCGGAGCUCAGCGGGCUGCGCUGGAUUCACAGGACUGAGCAGGAAAGAAAUCUUUUAAAAAAUGCACUGAAUAGAAGCAUUUAUCAUGAAUCCAUCCUGGACUGAAUAUAUGAGACUGAAUAUUAAGGCUAAAGAUGCCCUCUUGAGAGGUCAUUUUGCCCAUUCAUUCUGUGAUUUGUUCCUUUGGUCUCUUCUUCCUGUGUUUCUUCAUUCUCUUAACAAUAAAUAUUUAUUGAGCUCUU